GCUUUCUUGGCUCAGUUGGUUAGAGCGUUGGUCUCAUAUCUGCAUAGAGUGACUUAGCUUCAAGCUAGGGUUAUCCAAAGGUCGUGAGUUCGAACCUCACAGAGAGCA
rfam:Fusarium oxysporum f. sp. cubense race 4 unplaced genomic scaffold scaffold6, whole genome shotgun sequence.